rnacentral:rRNA from 1 species
AGCCCGUGGAAACGCGGAUUAAUAUUCCAUAGAUCAGUAACAUCGCAUGGUGUAACUGGUAAAGUUAAGGCGGCACAAGAUUGGCAUGCGUCUGAUUAGCUAGUUGGUAGGGUAACGGCCCACCAAGGCGACGAUCAGUAGGGGUUCUGAGAGGAUUAACCCCCACACUGGUACUGAGACACGGACCAGACUCCUACGGGAGGCAGCAGUGAGGAAUAUUGGUCAAUGGGCGGAAGCCUGAACCAGCCAUCCCGCGUGAAGGAAGAAGGCCCUACGGGUUGUAAACUUCUUUUCUGUUUGAAGAAUAAGCUUGUCGUGACAAGUGAUGCCGGUAGGACAGGAAUAAGCAUCGGCUAACUCCGUGCCAGCAGCCGCGGUAAUACGGAGGAUGCAAGCGUUAUCCGGAUUUAUUGGGUUUAAAGGGUGCGCAGGUGGUUAAAUAAGUCAGUGGUGAAAGUCUGCCGCUUAACGGUAGGAUUGCCAUUGAUACUGUUUGACUUGAAUAUGGAUGAGGUAGGCGGAAUGUGUAGUGUAGCGGUGAAAUGCUUAGAUAUUACACAGAACACCGAUUGCGAAGGCAGCUUACUAAUCCAUGAUUGACGCUGAGGCACGAAAGCGUGGGGAUCAAACAGGAUUAGAUACCCUGGUAGUCCACGCUGUAAACGAUG